CACGAAGAGGACCCCAUAUCUCAAUUUAAAUGAAAUUAGGAAUUAAAGUCAUUGCCGUCUUGCAAAGCAUAAUUAAACAAACGGAAUUCAAACAUACCUUUUUGCUAAUCUCCUUUUGAAUCACUCAAAUUCAAAGCCUGCGACAAUUUUCACAUUCCUCCCUCCAAAUUAACAAGACUCGUGAUUUUCUUGUGCCUACUUUAUUGUGCUGAAUGUUUUUUGAAAGGGUCCCAAAGCCAAAAUCACGAGAGAGUAGAUAGAACGAGAAAGAAUCAAUUUAAAUAAUCUUUUUGCGAAAUCAUUAUGCACAAGUGACUUUCUCGAGCAAUGCAAAGAAAAUAAAGGAAGGGAAUUAUGGAAAUUCAGCCAGAGAAAGUUUAUGUAGCCAUUGGAAGAGACCUUUACGAUGGGCUUUCAACCUUACAAUGGGCUUUAAGAAAAUGGUCUAAUCAUUCAAUCAGCAUAGUGAUUAUCCACGCAGCAAAUAACAUACGCAGAGAUUAUGUUUACACACCACUUGGGAAACUUCCUGCAAGUUCUGUGAGUGAGAAGAAGCUGAAAGAUCUUGACAAGAGCGAGGAAGAAAUUGAUGACCAAAUGAUAUCCCAGUUCAUAGCCUCCUGUGGAAGGAUUAAAGCUCAAGUUUUUAAGUUGGAGAAAACUGAGCAGCCUAUUUACAAGCAAUUGGUAGAAAUAAUUCCGAUUCAACGGAUAACCAAAUUAGUUAUGUCAUUAACAUUUAUAAAGUCCUCGGCAUGGAAAUCAACAACUGCAAUUAGUGGGUCAUUCUAUAUUCUUCGUCACAAACCCGAUUUUUGUGAGCUUUUUGUUAUAUGUGGAGGGAGAUUGCUUUCGUUGAGAGAAGAAAAUAACGAAGGAUUUAUAGAGGACGAUAGGGGAAACACAAUUGCCAAGUUUAAAGAGAGGAAUGGUUUUAGAAGUUUGCUAGGAAGAAUUUUCCCGGAUAGCCCUACAAAUGGACAUUCCACGGAUUCACCUACUUCUUCAAGAAGCAAUAGUUCACCCGAUGAGUGGGAGAAAUACAGUGAAGAGAUUGAACAAUAUGUUAAUCAACUGUUGGCUUUUAAUGAAGAGGAAGAAGAGGCAAAUUAUAAAGCCUUGGAGGAAAAUCCUGCAGAUUCAGAUAUGCAGGAAAAUAUGAGUGGAGCAGAAAGAAUUGAAGCUCUUAAACUCAAAAUACAAAGAGCUGUAGAAGCAAUCCAAUUGAACAAACAAGAAGCAAAUUUGAAUAAGGAAAGGGGUGCAAAAGCAGAAUGGGCUAUUAGUUUGUGUAAUACCCGGAUUAUGCAACUUGAAGUUUGCUUAAGUGAAGAGGUCCAGAAAAAUGCUGAUCUAAAGAAAGAGCUAGACUCCAGAAAAGACGAACUCUUUGAACUUCAGGGUGAAGUCGAGGAAAAAAGAAGUAAGCUGAACUCAAUUCUAGAACUCCAACGAGAACUCUCGAACAAACUUCAGUUAUCCUCUUCUGCUAAAUCACGAGCCGAGGUUCAACUAGAGAAGGCAGUGCAAACAAGAACUGAUAUGGUUCGAGAAAUUGAGGAAUUGAGAGGGCAAAGAGAUGUCAUCCAACUUAGAAUCGAGUUCUGUAGAGAAAAAGAUGCAAUAGGUAGUGCUGACAGAAUGAACGCCUCAAGUUUUGAUUACAGAGAAUUCACUGCUGCCGAAAUUAGUGCUGCAACUGAAGAUUUCUCGGAGGAUUUAAGAUUGAAGUCACGAGGUCAAUUCACAAAUGUUUACAAAGGUCAUAUAAAUCAUAUAACAGUUGCAAUUAAAAUGUACAAUUCAGCAAAUGCUCCAUCCCAGGAGUCCUUCAUAGCUAAGGUACAAAUACUUAGCCAAAUCAGGCAUCCAAAUAUAGUUGCCAUGAUUGGAUUCUGCUCCGAGCUCAACUGCAUUAUUUUCGAGUACAUGCACAAUGGCUGCCUGCAUGAUGCAUUAUUCCUAACUGAAAGAAGCUCUAGAGUAAGGAACAAGGCUCUGAGUUGGCACAUGAGAAUACGAAUUGCAGCUGAAGUGUGCUCAGCUUUGGGCUUCCUUCAUAAUGCCCUGCCUAAGCCCUUAAUUCUCGGCAACUUGAGUCCCUCAAAAAUCAUCCUGGACCGUAACAAUGUUGCAAAAGUUUAUGGCUUGAAGCCUCCUUGGUCGUAUGAUAAUUCUGAUAGAAAUUCAGACAUCCGGGCUUUUGGAAACUUAAUGCUGCAACUUCUGAGUGGGAGGAACUGGGCAGCACCAAUGGAUGCUUCUGCUAUCAUUGGGGACUUGGAUCAUUCGGCUGGAGAAUGGCCUUUGGAUUUGGCAACGGAACUUUGUAGCAUAGCUAUAAGGUGUUUGUCAACUGACCAAGAUAUAGACAAGGAGUUGGAUAUAGGGUGGCUGAUGAGUGAGAUCAAUAGGGUGAAGAAAAAGGCUGACCAGCUAGUUGCAAAUGGAGAAUACGCAUCUGCAGUUGAAGAUUUUAUAGAUACAGAGGACUCAAGCAAUGUGCCUAGUGCUUUCCUCUGUCCCAUUUAUCAGGAUGUGAUGCAAAACCCACAUUUAGCUGCAGACGGGUUUUCCUACGAACUAGACGCCAUUGAAGGGUGGCUAAGAACAGGUCAUGAUACAUCACCAAUGACUAACUUGAGGCUGAAUCAUACGCUUCUUACCCCUAAUCACACUCUGCGUACGCUGAUCCAGGAUUGGCAAACUAGAAGAUCAGCUCCCCCGAGUUAAAGAUCAUUGCACCAUGUUUUGAUGCAUGGAAGUGAAACAGCAGAACUGAAAACGUAAGAUUAUUUCAUUCAAAAUUGAGUUUAUUGUACACUAACUCCAAUUCGUAGCCUUUAAUUUUGAUCUUGGCAAAGGUAGCUUGAAUAGGAAUAGGUUGUUGUAAAUUGAAGUGAAAAAUAAAAAAUUAUGUUGAUGCAAAUUAUAGAACCUGUGAGUAUAUUCCAAAAUGCUGACUUUCAUGUU